rnacentral:tRNA from 1 species
GGUGGUUUAGCUCAGUGGCAUAAGCACCUGCCUUGCAAGCAGGUGGUCGUGAGUUCAACCCCCA